UUGGUAGAGAUAGGUGGGAAUACUAAAAUGGGUCGAUAGGUAUGUGAAAAGAUGGAAAUGGGUUAUGGGUUAUGUUGAAAAUGGUCGAGAAAAUGAAAAAUGAUUGUGAUGUCAAGAGGGAAGGACUGUGAAUUGGAGCUCAAGAAAUACUAGUGUGAGGCUUGAUGGGUCAAGAGUCAGGGCCAAAGGAUUUGACGAACUAAGGAAGAUGAAGGGGAAUGGGGAGAGGAUUGCUGAUUGUCGAGCCUGAGAAAGGGAAAGUUGGUGUUUAGAGGAAGUGAUAAGUAAGGGAAAGGGACUACCAAGAGCCACUAAGCAGCGUGUGAGCUAAGAGAAUCAGGAGAUACCUCUAUUUUGGUUAGGACCCGAGGCAAAUCGGGGUUGAGGGGAUGGAUGAGGUUGAGGAGCUGGGAACUGAGGAAGGUUUUGUGGUUUUUCUUUGGGAGUCACGACAUCAUUCUAAAACACUGAAAGAAAAAGGGUUACCCACUAUUUGUACAAUUUCCUUUUAAUCCUCCCAAAACCUCUACCUUUGAACAAUAAAAAUAAAAGUUUAUAUAGAUGACCAAAAUCCUAAUAUAAAUGACCAAAAGAAACUGGGAGAAAAGAAAGAGAUGCGAUCAAGAUGCGGCGAGG
rnacentral:lncRNA from 1 species